rnacentral:lncRNA from 1 species
GUUAUUUUUAGCGACAAGACGGAGCUUUGUUGUUCUAAAUCUUGGUCAUAUCCUCAGACAUUAUCUAAUGUUAUUUGACUGUAAUCUCUCUCCUCUCUCUUUUGUUUCUUGGUUUCCACAGUGAAUGGGGAGGCCAAGCGGGUGGAUGUCAUAGCGUCACCGAGGAGCGUCACCGAGGAGAAAGAAGACUGCAGGGCGAAUCGUCCCUCUCCCCCCAUCACAGCGCCCCCGCAGGAGAACACAGCGGAAUCCUCACCACCACCCCAAACACAAGACUCUUCUAGAAGCAGUGUGGAGGUAGGAGGGGGGCUGUCACACCCGUCCCCCUCCAGUCCCACCCUGGAGGAGAGGAGGAGACCAGGUACCCUGCUCAUCUGGCAGGAGAGAGAGAGAAUCCAUCAGCAGAGAGACAACACGGCCAGAGACAAUGGUUUACUGAAGAUUACAACGGCCAAAACAGGAAGUAAUGUGGCGACGCUGUCACAGACAGGAAGUAGCUCGAGAGUGCAGAUCAGAUGUUCACUGUCUCAAACGGCACCGGUUCAGCGCUCUGUUAGCCGAUCAGGUACACGCCAAUACAGUUCACCUGCAAUCUCCAAUCUCCUAAAGUACGACAAGCCGAUGUAGUUAACACAACGUGUGUGUGUUUUAUUCAGACGUUCCGUCUCCCCUCCAGGCCUGAGUCAGAAACCACACAGUUUCCUCUUCCGCACCUCAUCCCGCUGCAGCGGCAAGAGUCAGUUCUCCCAUUCUCAGGCUCCACACAAGUAUGGUGGAGCAGGCCGCUCUGAGUUCUCGUCCUCCGUGUUGAGGCCAGAU